rnacentral:rRNA from 1 species
GUUGGUGACGCGGAGGGACAUUACCGAGUUAUACAACUCCCAAACCCACUGUGAACCUUACCUCAGUUGCCUCGGCGGGAACGCCCCGGCCGCCUGCCCCCGCGCCGGCGCCGGACCCAGGCGCCCGCCGCAGGGACCCCAAACUCUCUUGCAUUACGCCCAGCGGGCGGAAUUUCUUCUCUGAGUUGCACAAGCAAAAACAAAUGAAUCAAAACUUUCAACAACGGAUCUCUUGGUUCUGGCAUCGAUGAAGAACGCAGCGAAAUGCGAUAAGUAAUGUGAAUUGCAGAAUUCAGUGAAUCAUCGAAUCUUUGAACGCACAUUGCGCCCGCCAGCAUUCUGGCGGGCAUGCCUGUUCGAGCGUCAUUUCAACCCUCGAGCCCCCCCCGGGGGCCUCGGUGUUGGGGGACGGCACACCAGCCGCCCCCGAAAUGCAGUGGCGACCCCGCCGCAGCCUCCCCUGCGUAGUAGCACACACCUCGCACCGGAGCGCGGAGGCGGUCACGCCGUAAAACGCCCAACUUUCUUAGAGUUGACCUCGGAUCAGGUAGGAAUACCCGCUGAACUUAAGCAUACUAAA